GCGGAAUGCUUUACACAUGCAAGUCGAGCGGCAGCGCGGGGCAACCUGGCGGCGAGCGGCGAACGGGUGAGUAAUGCAUCGGAACAUGUCCAGUCGUGGGGGAUAGCCCGCCGAAAGGCGGAUUAAUACCGCAUACGCCCGGGAGGGGAAAGCGGGGGACCUGCAAGGGCCAAAUGCCAUCGGAGGCGCCUACGUGGGAUUAGCUAGUUGGUGAGGUAAUGGCUCACCAAGGCGACGAUCCCUAGCUGGUUUGAGAGGAUGAUCAGCCACACUGGAACUGAGACACGGUCCAGACUCCUACGGGAGGCAGCAGUGGGGAAUAUUGGACAAUGGGCGCAAGCCUGAUCCAGCCAUGCCGCGUGUGUGAAGAAGGCCUUCGGGUUGUAAAGCACUUUCAGUAGGGAGGAAGCGUUGUGUGUUAAUAGUACACAGCGUUGACGUUACCUACAGAAGAAGCACCGGCUAACUCUGUGCCAGCAGCCGCCGUAAUAC
rnacentral:rRNA from 1 species